rnacentral:lncRNA from 1 species
GGGCGCACGGGGUCGGGGGCGUGGUCCCGCAACCUGGGACCCUCCCCGGGGCGCCAUCUCCCGGCCCCGCCCCCGCGCUGAGAGCUUUGAGGCCGAGGGUCAAGCGGUCCUGGGAGACGCUGGCCGCUCUAGAGCCUGCUUCCAGAUGGAAAAAAGUAGGGGACAGGAAAUGAAGCAAAACAAGUUGUCACCGCUCUCAUGUGAGGGUUGGGAUCAAGAUAAUGGAAUAACGGGACGUGGAACUCACCUCUCCCUCAUGAAGAUAUUAAAAAUAUCUCCAUAUGAUGAAAAUUUUCACUGGGAGCUGGCAGAAGGACUUCUGUACAACCAAUACUGAAUGCACCCAUGGCAUAUGGGUCGAAGAGGAGUUGUAGUCACUGGCCUGCACCACAGUCACAGCAAUGUAAGAUCCAAGCUGCAUCUGAGACCUACACCAUAGCUCAUGGCAACACUGGAUCCUUAACCCACUGAGCAAGGCCAGAGAUUGAAUCUGCGUCCUCAUGGAUGCUAGUCAGAUUCGUUGUUGCUGAGCCAUGAUAGGAACUGCUAUUUAUUACUUUUUUGCAAUGUAAAUUUUAUAAUAAGCUUGUCUAGUCUACACAAGUUUUUCUUUUUGGAAUCUUGAUAGAAAUUACAUUAAACCUGUAAAUCGAUUUGGUUAUAACUGUCUUUACUAUGUUGAAUCUUCCAAUACAUGAAAAUCAUAUUUCCAUUUAUUUACAUUUUUAAUUUCUUUUAUCAGCAAUUCAUAACUUUCAGCAUAUAGAUCCUGUAUGUGGUUAAGUUUGUGAAUAAGAUAGGAGAAAUCACUCUACGUAACACUAAGACCUGUUAAAGACCAUCUAAGUCUUUCAUUUUCUUUGAAGUGAUCAUAAGUGGUAUCGCAUGUCUAAUUUUGUUUUCUAAAUGCUCAUUGUUAGCAUUUGGAAAUCCUGUUGAUUUUUACAUCUCAAUCUGUAUCAUGUGACCUUGCUGAAGUCAUUCAGUUCUAGGAGUUUUCUUUAUUGGUAUGUAGAUUUCUUGGGAUUUUCAAUGUGGAUAUACCUGUCAAGAUAUACCAAAUUUGAUAUGUUUUCAGCCAUUUUUGAAUACUUUAGAAAUACAGAUCAAUAUAACAACGAACUAGAAACUAUAUAGAAACCAAUCAAAAUUAGACACCUCAAUUGCCAAGAUAAAAACUAAUCUAAAAGCAAUGAAUAGCAAACUAAAUUAUGCAGAAUAAUGAAUAAGUGACCUGGUUGAUAGAAUAAUGGAAAUUGCACAAUUAGAACAUCAGACAGAAAGUCAAAUAAAAAAAAAAUGAAACAAAUAUACAAGAUCUAUGGGAUAGUUCUAUAUUUAGUUUUCUGAGGUAUUUCCAUACUGUUUUCCAUAGUGGUUGUACCAGUUUACAUUCCCACCAGCAGUGUUGGAGGGGUCUCUUUUCUCCACACUCUAUCCAGCAUUUAUUUGUUGACUUGUUAAUAAUGGCCACUUUGGUGUGAGGUGGUACCUCAUUAUAGUUUUGAUUUGCAUUUCUACAAUAAUUAGUGAUGUUGAGCAUUCUUUCAUGUGCCUGCUGACCAUCUGUAUGUCUUCUUUGGUGAAAUGUCUAUUCAGGUUUCUGCCCAUUUUUCAACUGGGUUGUUUGCUUUUUUGUUGUUGAAUUGUAUGAAUUGUUUGCAUAUUUUGGAGAUUAAACCUUUGCAGGUUGAGCCAUUUGCAAAAGUUUUCUCCCAUUCUAUGGUUGUCUUUUCAUUUUUUUAGUGGCUUCCUUUGCUGUGCAGAAACUUUUGAGUUUAAUUAGGUCCCAUUGAUUUAUUAGUGUCUUUAUUCUCUUUAUUAUGGGAGGUGGGUCAACAAGAUAUUGCUGUGAUUUAUGCCAAAGAGCAUUCUGCCUGUUUUUCUCUAGGAGUUUUAUAGUGUGUGGCCUUACAUUUAUGUCUUUAAUACAUUUUGAGUUUAUUUCUGUGUAUGGUUUUAUACAAUGUUCUAAUUUCUUUCUCUUACAUGCAGUUGUCCAGUUUUCCCAGCACCACUUAUUGAACAGACUAUGUUUUCUCCACUGUAAGUUUUUACCUCCUUUGUCACAGAUUAAUUGACCAUAGGUGUUUGGGUUUAUUUCUGGGCUUUCUAUGCUGUUCCAUUGAUCUAUAUUUCCAUUUUUCUGCCAGUACCAUACUAUCUUGAUGACUGUAGCUUUGUAGUAGAGUCUGAAGCCAGGGAGCCCGAUUCCUCUGGUUCCAUAUUUUUCUUUUUGACAUAGCUCUACAUUUUUGAGGUCUUUUGUGUUUCUAUACAAAUUUUAAAAUAUUUUGUUCUAGUUCUGUAAAGAACAUCAUUGGUAAUUUGAUAGGAAUUGCAUUGAAUCUAUAAAUUGCAUUAGGUAGUAUUGUCAUUUUUUCUAUAUUGAUUCUUUCAAUCCAAGAGCAUGUUAUGUUUUCCCA